AGAAUCAACGCUGGCGGCGUGCCUAACACAUGCAAGUCGAACGAGAAAGUGGAGCAAUCCAUUAGUAAAGUGGCGCACGGGUGAGUAACACGUGACUAACCUACCCUUGAGUGGGGGAUAACCUAGGGAAACCUGGGCUAAUACCGCAUAAUACCUACGGGUCAAAGGAGCAAUUCGCUUUAGGAGGGGGUCGCGGCAGAUUAGUUAGUUGGCGGGGUAAUGGCCCACCAAGACAGUGAUCUGUA
rnacentral:rRNA from 1 species